UGCGGAAGGAUCAUUAUCGAAUAUAAACUUGGGUAGACUGUUGCUGGCUUCUCUUCGAGGGGCAUGUGCACGUUUAUCCUCUUUAUUUUUUUCACUUCCUUCUUUUGUCCCAUUGAGGAAGUAAAAGUCGUAACAAGGUUUCCGUAGGUGAACCUGCGGAAGGAUCAUUAUUGAUUGCGAAUCGUUGUCUUCAGUGCUGGCCAGCUCUGGCAAGUGCACGUUGGCGGCUUUUCAUCCAAUACCCCUGUGAACCUUUGGCCUCUUGCUGGCUUUGGCUGGCAGAGGAUUUUUUACACCAACUCGAAUGUAAUGAAAUUAUUGUUGUGCGCAAGCACUACUAUACAACUUUCAACAACGGAUCUCUUGGCUCUCGCAUCGAUGAAGAACGCAGCGAAAUGCGAUAAGUAAUGUGAAUUGCAGAAUUCAGUGAAUCAUCGAAUCUUUGAACGCACCUUGCACCCUUUGGCAUUCCGAAGGGUAUGCUCGUUUGAGUGUCAUUGUACUCUCACACUUCUGAUCCUUUGGAUCGGGAGCGGUGGACUUGGGUGCUGCUGCUUUACUGUGGCUCACCUCAAAUGCAUUAGUGCAACUCUUGGUUGGACAUAGUACGGCGUGAUAAGUGUCUUCGCCGGCACCUCGCAAGAGGGUGGCUGAUCAGGGGCUCUGUGCUUUCCAACUGUCUUCAGACAACAACUGACAACUUGACCUCAAAUCGAGUAGGACCACCCGCUGAACUUAAGCAUAUCAAAAGCCCGGAGGAACUUAACAUGGUACCUUCAUUUGUAAAGGUCAUAUUGCUUCUAAUUGUCUUUGGACAAAAAAACAUAUAUAAUG
rnacentral:rRNA from 1 species